UGGGGAAUCUUCCGCAAUGGACGAAAGUCUGACGGAGCAACGCCGCGUGUAUGAUGAAGGUCUUCGGAUUGUAAAGUAUUGUCAUUGGGGAAGAACGGUUUUCUUGAGAAUAUUGAGAAGACAUGACGGUACCCAAGGAGGAAGCCCCGGCUAACUACGUGCCAGCAGCCGCGGUAAUACGUAGGGGGCAAGCGUUGUCCGGAAUUAUUGGGCGUAAAGGGCNCGUAGGCGGGCCUUUAAGUCCGGUGUGAAAGAUCAGGGCUCAACCCUGAGAGUGCAUCGGAAACUGGAGGCCUUGAGGACAGGAGAGGAAAGUGGAAUUCCACGUGUAGCGGUGAAAUGCGUAGAUAUGUGGAGGAACACCAGUGGCGAAGGCGACUUUCUGGACUGUAACUGACGCUGAGGCGCGAAAGCGUGGGGAGCAAACAGGAUUAGAUACCCUGGUAGUCCACGCCCUAAACGAUGUCAACUAGUUGUUGGGGAUU
rnacentral:rRNA from 1 species